UACGUAGGGUGCAAGCGUCUAUCCGGAAUUAUUGGGCGUAAAGAGCUCGUAGGCGGUUUGUCGCGUCUGCUGUGAAAACUGGGGGCUCAACUCCCAGCCUGCAGUGGGUACGGGCAGACUAGAGUGCGGUAGGGGAGAUUGGAAUUCCUGGUGUAGCGGUGGAAUGCGCAGAUAUCAGGAGGAACACCGAUGGCGAAGGCAGGUCUCUGGGCAUUAACUGACGCUGAGGAGCGAAAGCAUGGGGAGCGAACAGG
rnacentral:rRNA from 1 species